rnacentral:rRNA from 1 species
GAACGAGAUGCGUAUUGGAAAGCUUCGGCCGGAAGAUACGUUAUCUAGUGGCGGACGGGUGAGUAACACGUGGGUAACCUGCCUUAUGGAGGGGGAUAACAGAGAGAAAUCACUGCUAAUACCGCAUAAGCACACAGUACCGCAUGGUACAGGGUGAAAAGAUUUAUCGCCAUAAGAUGGACCCGCGUCUGAUUAGCCAGUUGGCAGGGUAAAAGCCUACCAAAGCAACGAUCAGUAGCCGAUCUGAGAGGAUGACCGGCCACAUUGGGACUGAGACACGGCCCAAACUCCUACGGGAGGCAGCAGUGGGGAAUAUUGCACAAUGGGGGAAACCCUGAUGCAGCGACGCCGCGUGAGUGAAGAAGUAUUUCGGUAUGUAAAGCUCUACCAGCAGGGAAGAUAAUGACAGUACCUGACUAAGAAGCCCCGGCUAACUACGUGCCAGCAGCCGCGGUAAUACGUAGGGGGCAAGCGUUAUCCGGAUUUACUGGGUGUAAAGGGAGCGUAGACGGAAUGGCAAGUCUGAAGUGAAAUACCCGGGCUCAACCUGGGAACUGCUUUGGAAACUGUUGUUCUAGAGUGUUGGAGAGGUAAGUGGAAUUCCUGGUGUAGCGGUGAAAUGCGUAGAUAUCAGGAAGAACACCGGAGGCGAAGGCGGCUUACUGGACAAUAACUGACGUUGAGGCUCGAAAGCGUGGGGAUCAAACAGGAUUAGAUANCCUGGUAGUCCACGCUGUAAACGAUGAAUACUAGGUGUCGGGGUGCAAAGCAUCUCGGUGCCGUCGCUAACGC